GAUGAACGCUGGCGGCGUGCCUAAUACAUGCAAGUCGAGCGAACAGACGAGGAGCUUGCUCCUCUGACGUUAGCGGCGGACGGGUGAGUAACACGUGGAUAACCUACCUAUAAGACUGGGAUAACUUCGGGAAACCGGAGCUAAUACCGGAUAAUAUAUUGAACCGCAUGGUUCAAUAGUGAAAGACGGUUUUGCUGUCACUUAUAGAUGGAUCCGCGCCGCAUUAACUAGUUGGUAAGGUAACGGCUUACCAAGGCAACGAUGCGUAGCCGACCUGAGAGGGUGAUCGGCCACACUGGAACUGAGACACGGUCAAGACUCCUACGGGAGGCAGCAGUAGGGAAUCUUCCGCAAUGGGCGAAAGCCUGACGGAGCAACGCCGCGUGAGUGAUGAAGGUCUUCGGAUCGUAAAACUCUGUUAUUAGGGAAGAACAAAUGUGUAAGUAACUAUGCACGUCUUGACGGUACCUAAUCAGAAAGCCACGGCUAACUACGUG
rnacentral:rRNA from 1 species